rnacentral:lncRNA from 12 species
AACAAACAACAAAAAAAACCCCCAAAAUAUUUUUAAUAACUAACAGACGCUCCAUGAUAUUAAAUUCCUCAGGCCUGGGAAGAACAGGGAUAGCACAGGAGUGGACACCAUCUGCAGUUACGGAAAGGGCUCCCAGGUGCCCAAGUUGAACCCAGCUGAGGUUUACCAAGAGCUGAGGAGAAUGACAAGUGGCAUCACCAAGUUGGGAAUCUACAACCUGGACAACAAGAGCCUCUAUGUCAAUGAUUACAAUGAACCCCUUGAGAGAUCCCGUAAGUAUUUUGCCAAAUUCAUUUUGCCACGUUCCUUUCACCAAAUUCAUUUCAGGGGAAGCUCUCAAAGGAGCAAUGCCCUGAGAAAAUCAGAGGGGAAGAGAUUAGUCAGAGUAACCUUGAGGUGUGCUGGGAGUAGGAAUGUUUUGAAAGGGAGAACUGCUUUUUUUUUUUUUUUUUGUAGGAGAUUCCUAAUCCUUCUCCCCUUUGAUUACAGCCCGGAGCACCACAGCUGCACCAAAAACAACAUCCAGGAAUUUCACACUGAACUUCACCUUGACCAACCUCCCCUACAAUGCAGAUCUGGAUGCCCCAAAUUCCCGCAGAUUCCUUUCCACAGUGAAAGUUAUGAACCACUAUGUGAGUCUGGCUCUGCUUGUGCCCCUUUGGGUCUUGGUGGUGACUUAAUCCACCUGCUUUA